rnacentral:rRNA from 1 species
GUUGAACGCUGGCGGCAUGCCUUACACAUGCAAGUCGAACGGCAGCGCGGGAGCAAUCCUGGCGGCGAGUGGCGAACGGGUGAGUAAUACAUCGGAACGUGCCCAAUCGUGGGGGAUAACGCAGCGAAAGCUGUGCUAAUACCGCAUACGAUCUACGGAUGAAAGCAGGGGAUCGCAAGACCUUGCGCGAAUGGAGCGGCCGAUGGCAGAUUAGGUAGUUGGUGAGGUAAAGGCUCACCAAGCCUUCGAUCUGUAGCUGGUCUGAGAGGACGACCAGCCACACUGGGACUGAGACACGGCCCAGACUCCUACGGGAGGCAGCAGUGGGGAAUUUUGGACAAUGGGCGAAAGCCUGAUCCAGCCAUGCCGCGUGCAGGAUGAAGGCCUUCGGGUUGUAAACUGCUUUUGUACGGAACGAAACGGUCUUUUCUAAUAAAGAAGGCUAAUGACGGUACCGUAAGAAUAAGCACCGGCUAACUACGUG